rnacentral:rRNA from 1 species
UACAGAGGGUGCGAGCGUUGUUCGGAAUUAUUGGGCGUAAAGCGCUGGUAGGUGGCUUGUUAAGUCGCGUGUGAAAGCUCCAGGCUCAACCUGGAAAGUGCGCGCGAAACUGGCGAGCUUGAGUGCCGGAGAGGGUCGCGGAAUUCCCAGUGUAGAGGUGAAAUUCGUAGAUAUUGGGAGGAACACCAGAGGCGAAGGCGGCGACCUGGAAGGUAACUGACACUGAGCAGCGAAAGCGUGGGGGGCAAACAGG